rnacentral:rRNA from 1 species
GACGAACGCUGGCGGCGUGCUUAACACAUGCAAGUUGAACGGAAAGGCCCUGCUUUUGUGGGGUGCUCGAGUGGCGAACGGGUGAGUAACACGUGAGUAACCUGCCCUUGACUUUGGGAUAACUUCAGGAAACUGGGGCUAAUACCGGAUAGGAGCUCCUGCUGCAUGGUGGGGGUUGGAAAGUUUCGGCGGUUGGGGAUGGACUCGCGGCUUAUCAGCUUGUUGGUGGGGUAGUGGCUUACCAAGGCUUUGACGGGUAGCCGGCCUGAGAGGGUGACCGGCCACAUGGGGACUGAGAUACGGCCCAGACUCCUACGGGAGGCAGCAGUGGGGAAUAUUGCACAAUGGGCGGAAGCCUGAUGCAGCAACGCCGCGUGCGGGAUGACGGCCUUCGGGUUGUAAACCGCUUUCGCCUGUGACGAAGCGUGAGUGACGGUAAUGGGUAAAGAAGCACCGGCUAACUACGU